CCAGACUCCUACGGGAGGCAGCAGUGGGGAAUAUUGGACAAUGGACCGAAAGUCUGAUCCAGCAAUUCUGUGUGCACGAUGAAGUUUUUCGGAAUGUAAAGUGCUUUCAGUUGGGAAGAAAUAAAUGACGGUACCAACAGAAGAAGUGACGGCUAAAUACGUGCCAGCAGCCGCGGUAAUACGUAUGUCACGAGCGUUAUCCGGAUUUAUUGGGCGUAAAGCGCGUCUAGGUGGUUAUGUAAGUCUGAUGUGAAAAUGCAGAGCUCAACUUUGUAUUGCGUUGGAAACUGUAUAACUAGAGUACUGGAGAGGUAAGCGGAACUACAAGUGUAGAGGUGAAAUUCGUAGAUAUUUGUAGGAAUGCCGAUGGGGAAGCCAGCUUACUGGACAGAUACUGACGCUAAAGCGCGAAAGCGUGGGUAGCAAACAGGAUUAGAUACCCUGGUAGUCCACGCUGUAAACGAUGAUUACUAGGUGUUGGGGGUCGAACCUCAGCGCCCAAGCAAACGCGAUAAGUAAUCCGCCUGGGGAGUACGUACGCAAGUAUGAAACUCAAAGGAAUUGACGGGGCCCGCACAAG
rnacentral:rRNA from 1 species